UACAGAGGUGGCGAGCGUUGUUCGGACUUACGGGGCGUAAAGGGCGCGUCGGCGGCCCGCCAAGUCCCGUGUGAAAGCCCCCGGCUCAACCGGGGAACGGCGCGGGAAACUAGCAGGCUUGAGUUCGGGAGAGGGAAGCGGAAUUCCGGGUGUAGCGGUGAAAUGCGCAGAUAUCCGGAGGAACACCGGUGGCGAAGGCGGCUUCCUGGACCGACACUGACGCUGAGGCGCGAAAGCUAGGGGAGCAAACGGG
rnacentral:rRNA from 1 species